rnacentral:lncRNA from 1 species
CGACCUGGACUUUGCCAAAGCUAUGUAUCCCAACAGGAUCGUCAGUGGAAGCUUGCAGUCUCACUGUGGGCUGUGCUGCUAACGGGGCCUCUUUCUAGCUUAGCUCCUUGAGGGGUGAACCCCGUGAUAAGGGGAAGUCACCCUGGAACACAUUGAUGCUGGAUUCCCUUAGAGAACUUCCUAGGUCCCUUUCCUGAUUGUGUUUUCUCUAGUCAGACACAGGGUGGCGCUCUUCAUUAAGUAAUCUGCCAGCUGUGUGGGAAGCCGUCUCCUGCCAACUCCUGUGACUCCAGGAAAAGGAAUUCUUUCCUUUUUCAUCUGGCCACAGAGAGGGGUGUAGAAGCACCUAGAGAAAACCCUCUGGAUGAAUCUGUCAGAGUUUCCAGAUUGGAAGACCCACCCUAAAUGGAUGGUGCUAUUUCAGGGGCUGUCCUUCCUCAACUGAAUAAAAAAGAGACAGCAAGCUGAAUGAGUGUCAGCAUCCAUCCUCUCUCUUCCCAACUGGAGAGAGAGUGUGACCAGCUACCUCCGGCUCCUGACGCCAGGAUUUCCCCACCAUAAUGGACUGUACCCUCAAACUGUGAGCCAGAGUAAACCCUCACUUCCUUAAGUUGCUUCUGUCAAAAAGCCAUGAGAAAAAUAACUAAAUUGCAUGCCCACAAAUGCAA